rnacentral:rRNA from 1 species
GAUGAACGCUAGCGGCAGGCCUAACACAUGCAAGUCGAACGGUAACAGGGAUUGCUUGCAAUCCGCUGACGAGUGGCGCACGGGUGCGUAACGCGUAUACAAUCUGCCUUUAACUAAGGGAUAGCCCAGAGAAAUUUGGAUUAAUACCUUAUAACAUUGUGAUUUGGCAUCUUAUUACAAUUAAAACUUCGGUGGUUAAAGAUGAGUAUGCGUCCUAUUAGCUUGUUGGUAAGGUAACGGCUUACCAAGGCAACGAUAGGUAGGGGGCCUGAAAGGGUGAUCCCCCACACUGGUACUGAGACACGGACCAGACUCCUACGGGAGGCAGCAGUGAGGAAUAUUGCGCAAUGGAGGAAACUCUGACGCAGCCAUGCCGCGUGCAGGAAGAAUGCCCUACGGGUUGUAAACUGCUUUUAUAUAGGAAGAAACCCCGAUACGUGUAUCGGCUUGACGGUACUAUAUGAAUAAGGACCGGCUAACUCCGUGCCAGCCGCCGCCGUAACAC